rnacentral:lncRNA from 1 species
AGGCACACGGCCGGCAGAGAGAGCCAGAGCAGUGGGUCUGAUCCAGUUUUAGCCAUUCUGGACUUUCACAGAUUUACUCAUCUGUAAAAUGGGCCUUAUGGAUGAGCUGCCACUGCCAGAAGCUGCUGAUAGCUUUGGCACCUCAGCUGACAAAUGUGCUGUCAGGACAUGCAUCCUCUCCACAGUCAGACGUGCUGCGGUGGCGGGGACGAACAGGGCCCUGGAACCCCACCGUCCUGGCAGGAACCCUGGGCUGUGCCAGCACGUGUUUCAUCUACUUGGGCCAGAGUCCAGCGGGAAGAAGCAGAGGUUGCAGGCUCCGGCUCUGCCCAGCUGCCCCUCCCACCCAGACCCUGGGGAGAAGAGCAGCAAAUAGUUCCCCGGAAGUCAGAUCCCUGAGGGUGCCCAUCACGACUUACAAAAGAUGAAGCCCGACCUUCCACAGGGUUCUGAGGGGAAGCCAGGCAAAGACAAAGGAAUGCAGACCCAGGAGGCCGAGAGCGGCCCACAGCUUACUCUCCCUGCGCAUCCCAGCUGCUGCUACCCGACCCUUAUAAGUCACAUGUCUCAUCAAGAAACUUGGGCAGCUGGAUAAUCUAUUGAUGAUUAAGAUAAAGCUUUCUGCCAAGCUUUUCAGGCUCCAGGAUUCAUUUUAAGUGGAGAACCCCGUUCUGCAAAAGAAAGCCACAGAACUUGAUGAUAGCAGCCCCCACCCCUGCUACGGUUUGCCUGGGAGUCAGGACUGCCUUGGUCCUCCCUACCAGAACCAAAAGGAGGGCUGGGUUGGCCAGCGAGGCUGCUCCGGGCUCUCAGCCUUGCCCAGGUGGCCGCUGUGGGUUCAGCUGGGCACCGGCGCCCAUCUUCAUGGGCUUUAUGUAAGAACAAAGGUUUUGAAUUAGAACAUGCACAAUUACAUACAUUGAUUGACAGACUUCUCUUUCUGAUAUCGGGGCUCUUGUGUGUAUCCGUUUGGUUACAUAAAAGAUUCUAUUAAAAAGAAGUUUGUAAACCGCUAAUCUGCAAUUCUAUUGCAUGAUUUGUAGUUGAGAAAGCUGGCGCCACAGGGUGGGGUGACCGGCCAGAUGUGGCUCCAGUUUCCUUCUCCAUGUCACAUGCCCCUCCUCCUCCUCUAGACUCAUU